rnacentral:rRNA from 1 species
GACGAACGCUGGCGGCGUGCCUAAUACAUGCAAGUCGAGCGAUGAAGAUUGGUGCUUGCACCAAUUUGAAGAGCAGCGAACGGGUGAGUAACGCGUGGGGAAUCUGCCUUUGAGCGGGGGACAACAUUUGGAAACGAAUGCUACUACCGCAUAACCACUUUAAACAUAAGUUUUAAGUUUGAAAGAUGCAAUUGCAUCACUCAAAGAUGAUCCCGCGUUGUAUUAGCUAGUUGGUGAGGUAAAGGCUCACCAAGGCGAUGAUACUUCGCCGCCCUGAGAGGGUGACCGCCAAAACUGGAACGGGGAAAGGGUCAAGACUCCUAGGGGAGGAAGCAGUAGGGAAUCUUGGGCAAUGAGGGAAGGCCUGCCGGAGAAAGGCCGGGUGGGUGAUGAGGGUCUUCGGAUCGUAAACCUCUGUUAUUAGGGAAGACCAAAGGUGUAAGUAAAUAUGCACGUAUUGACGGUAACUAAUCAGAAAGCCACGGCUAACUACGUG